rnacentral:tRNA from 1 species
UCCUUUAUAGCUUGGUAGGUAAAGAACCUGCCUGCAAUGCAGGAGACUUGGGUUUAAUUCCUGGGUCAGGAA